rnacentral:rRNA from 1 species
UACGAAGAGGGCUAGCGUUGUUCGGAAUUACUGGGCGUAAAGCGCACGUAGGCGGUUCGUUAUGUCGGAUGUGAAAGCCCUUGGCUUAACCGAGGAAGUGCAUCCGAAACUGGCGAGCUAGAGUACGAAAGAGGAUCGCGGAAUUCCCGGUGUAGAGGUGAAAUUCGUAGAUAUCGGGAGGAACACCGGUGGCGAAGGCGGCGAUCUGGGUCGAUACUGACGCUGAGGUGCGAAAGCGUGGGGAGCAAACAGG